rnacentral:rRNA from 1 species
UACAGAGGGUGCGAGCGUUGUCCGGAAUCACUGGGCGUAAAGGGCGCGUAGGCGGUCGGAUAAGCGUGCGGUGAAAGCCCGGGGCUCAACCCCGGGUCGGCCGUGCGGACUGUUCGACUGGAGCACUGUAGAGGCAGGUGGAAUUCCGGGUGUAGCGGUGGAAUGCGUAGAGAUCCGGAAGAACACCGGUGGCGAAGGCGGCCUGCUGGGCAGUUGCUGACGCUGAGAAGCGAAAGCAUGGGGGAGCGAACAGG